UAGUCCACGCCGUAAACGAUGUCAACUAGGUGUAGGGGGUGUUGAUCCCUUCUGUGCCGCAGCUAACGCAUUAAGUUGACCGCCUGGGGAGUACGGUCGCAAGAUUAAAACUCAAAGAAAUUGACGGGGGCCCGCACAAGCGGUGGAGUAUGUGGUUUAAUUCGAUGCAACGCGAAGAACCUUACCUGGUCUUGACAUCUUCAGGACCGCCCCCGAAACGGGGCUUCUCUUCGGAGCCUGUCUACAGGUGCUGCAUGGCUGUCGUCAGCUCGUGCCGUGAGGUGUUCGGUUAAGUCCGGCAACGAGCGCAACCCGCGUCGCCAGUUACCAGCGAGUAAUGUCGGGGACUCUGGCGAGACUGCCCGUGUCAAACGGGAGGAAGGCGCGGACGACGUCAAGUCCGUAUGGCCCUUACAUCCGGGGCUGCACACGUGCUACAAUGGCCGGUACAGUGGGAUGCGAUGCCGCGAGGCGGAGCGAAUCCUCAAAGCCGGUCCCAGUCCGGAUUGGAGU
rnacentral:rRNA from 1 species